rnacentral:rRNA from 1 species
GUGGGGAAUAUUGGGCAAUGGGCGAAAGCCUGACCCAGCAACGCCGCGUGAAGGAAGAAGGUUUUCGGAUCGUAAACUUCUAUCCUUGGUGAAGAUAAUGACGGUAGCCAAGAAGGAAGCCCCGGCUAACUACGUGCCAGCAGCCGCGGUAAUACGUAGGGGGCAAGCGUUGUCCGGUAUGAUUGGGCGUAAAGGGCGCGUAGGCGGCCCGGUAAGUCUGAAGUGAAAGUCCUGCUUUUAAGGUGGGAAUUGCUUUGGAUACUGUCGGGCUUGAGUGCAGGUGAGGUAAGCGGAAUUCCCGGUGUAGCGGUGAAAUGCGUAGAGAUCGGGAGGAACACCAGUGGCGAAGGCGGCUUACUGGACUGUAACUGACGCUGAGGCGCGAAAGUGUGGGGAGCAAACAGGAUUAGAUACCCGAGUAGUCC